AUUGAACGCUGACGGAAUGCUUUACACAUGCAAGUCGAGCGGCAGCGCGGGGGCAACCCUGGCGGCGAGCGGCGAACGGGUGAGUAAUGUAUCGGAACGUACCUCGUCGUGGGGGAUAACGCACCGAAAGGUGUGCUAAUACCGCAUACGUCNUGAGGGAGAAAGCGGGGGAUCGCAAGACCUCGCGCGAUGAGAGCGGCCGAUAUCUGAUUAGCUAGUUGGUGGGGUAAAGGCUCACCAAGGCGACGAUCAGUAGCUGGUCUGAGAGGACGACCAGCCACACUGGGACUGAGACACGGCCCAGACUCCUACGGGAGGCAACAGUGGGGAAUUUUGGACAAUGGGGGAAACCCUGAUCCAGCCAUUCCGCGUGAGUGAAGAAGGCCUUCGGGUUGUAAAGCUCUUUCAGCAGGAACGAAACGGGGGCGGCUAAUACCUGCUCCUAAUGACGGUACCUGAAGAAGAAGCACCGGCUAACUACGUGCCAGCAGCCGCGGUAAUACGUAGGGUGCGAGCGUUAAUCGGAAUUACUGGGCGUAAAGCGUGCGCAGGCGGUUAUUUAAGACAGAUGUGAAAUCCCCGGGCUCAACCUGGGAACUGCGUUUGUGACUGGAUAGCUGGAGUAUGGCAGAGGGGGGUGGAAUUCCACGUGUAGCAGUGAAAUGCGUAGAGAUGUGGAGGAACACCGAUGGCGAAGGCAGCCCCCUGGGCCAAUACUGACGCUCAUGCACGAAA
rnacentral:rRNA from 1 species